GGCUGCUCCACUCCCUCUUAGCCACGGCCUCCAAAGUGCCCUUAAGCCAGACCUUUCACCACCUAAAAACUGCAGUAACGAAUCAAAUACUGUUUUGCAUCAGCUCAGAGGUGUGCCGCAGUCUCACCCGUGCAGCAAAGAGCUAAUUGGAGUGGCCUCAUUUAGCAACACGUCAAAGAAGACGCGACAACACCGUGUCAGCGCCCCCACAAAUCUCCUGCACGGGUCUAAACUUAAUGGCAUGUCAGAGAGCACAACUGAUGCGACGGGGGUCACCGUGAGCCUAUGUUUCACUAUAACGAACCCUCUCCAAACCCCGGCACUGGGACUGUGCUGGCAAAGCGAGAGAUUAAUGUCCCAAUCAGUGAUGUGGUUAAAUAAAAAGAGCUGUGAACUAUC